GGUUCUAAGAGUACCCAAAAGGGUGUGACAGAAUGCUCUUGUUGUUGGUCCAACUUUACAUCCAAAGGGCUUCUGUGUGCUAAGAGACAGAAGAUGUUGGAAGACAUGGAAAAAGACUUUGAAGGUGGACAAGAGGCAGAUAAGUUUGAUGGAGGAGGAGGUAGCAAAAGCAGUGGAUC